GAGUGCAGGAGCGAGGUCGGGAGGAGCCCGGAGGGGCGGUCUGGUGCUGUGCUGGCCGUCCAAAGAGGAAAGGACGGGGGCGCCGUCGACCCAGCCGGCCUUGCUUUGUGGCGGGAAUUAGCUGUCACCCCGGGCACGUUACCUGAGAGAAGCCCCGCCGAACCGUUUCGAGGAAAGCGGACAUCGGAGCCCGAAACGCGGCCGGGUCUCAGCCCUCGAAUACGAGCAGAAUGAGGGAAAUGGAGGACAAGUGUUGCUCCUGAAAAUAUGCAGAGCAUUUUCCCUGCUUCCCUAAAUACCUAUUGCAAAAUGACACCGUUCUGCAUUAAGUGCUAGUAAGGACAUUCCCGGACUGCAUUUCUAAGCAUGCUGCUUUGGAAGUAAGCCCCAAGGUAAUCAACAAAUUUCGUUGCCAAGUAAAAAAUACUUAGGUGUCAGUGGGAAGGUGGCUCAUCAUAGGAGAGGGAGAAUGAAAGUGUAAUGGCAGGCCCAAACUAAACAUGCCAACCGAGAAGGGAUGGACUCCGUCCACAUUGCCCCAUGUACAUUAGGCCCUGAUGUGGGGACCAAAAGGCACAAUCGAAAGUUUAGGUGUAAAUGUAGCAGAUCAAAGGAAAGGUUUUGUAUAGAGUGUUUUCCAUGUUGCAAGGAGAUUUUGACAUGUGGGCAUUCCCAAAUGAGGCACCUCACAUGCUUAUUUUAACAGUUCUGAACUCCAUUAUGUUCCUGACUGUUUGAAUCUGCUUUAUCACAAAAUCAAGAUAUGAUUAGCCAAAACCAGUCUCUUCCGGGAUGAUGAGAAGAAGGGAAGGUAAACAUGGAUGUUGUAGGCAAAGGAGAGAGAGGGAGAGAGAUCAAAAUCUAUCUCUUCUGAAGUUAUACAGAGAAUGUUUAUACAAGGAAAUGUGGCCAAACUGGUUGCAACUGGUCCUCAUCUUACCAGUUAGGAGUUUGAGUAGCUGCUAGGCAUGUCUGUCUGCACAUGACCAACCAAGGCAGAUAAAUAUUAUGUGCAAAGUAUGUAAGGCAGAGGAAUCUUCUUACCUUGGACCCUUACUCUCCAACUGGUAUUGCCUUUUUCUGUCUCUGGUCAAUGGGCCUUUACUUUUUUGUAGACAUUGUUGCCAGGUUUAGUUUUGCUCUUUGUUGGUUGGUGUAGUUGGCAGGAUCUUGGGUGACUGAGAACACCCCUAGAGGAGUAGGAUAGUGAAUGGAAGGGGGAAAAAACUUUUAAAAUGUUCUCCCUUGCCCGGUCCCCUUUGCUGGGUUCUUUGUCAGUCCCCACCUGAAGAUCACAAUCUAGCAAGAUGUUUGUGCCAAUCCAGCCAUGUCCAAAAGUGUUGAUGGGGUUGUCUGGAUGUUUCUUGAAUGGUCUCUUAGAAGAUGCUAGAACUCAAACCAAGUCAGGAUGCCCUGCACCUGCUAUGAGGCCUGUAGGGAUCUCAAGUGCAGGUGCGCUGCAUGUUCUAGUGGUGUGAGAAUGGCUCACUCUCCUGCUUGUCUAAGUCACUGAGUAGAUUGUGCAUAAUUCCUCACUUGAGAAUGAGGGAAGCUCAUAUCUUGCUGUACCAGAUAUGAGGAGCCCAAAGAGGAGCCCAAAGCCUGAAGUGUCUGGAAACGUGAUAUGGUGAGUGCUCCUUCUCCAUAUACCAGCCAUAAUAUGGAAAACAACAAGAAAUGUUUCUGUCUUAGCUCUGGAUUCCCAGUGAUGACAAAAUCUGCUGAGCAGCUUAAGAGAGAGGAGUUCGGUCCUGGUCCCCUCAGGAAAGAUCUUUUGACCAUGAGGUCCUCAAUCACCUUGCCCUAAGCUUAAAAAGGCCACACUAUUGUAUUCCUGAUUCCUGUGUAUGGAUGUGAAAGCUGCACAGUGAAGAAAGCUGACAGGAAGAAAAUGGAUGCAUUCGAAACAUGAUGCUGGAGGAGAGCUUUGUGAAUAUCCUGGAACAACAGAUGAAUAACCAGGGCUCUCUUUAGAGGUAAAAAUGACAGAACUGAGACUUGGGCCUAUCAUGAGAAGGCAAAGCUCCCUGGAAAAGACAGUCAUGUUAGGGCAAGUUGAAGGCAGAAGAAGAAAAGGAAGACCAAUUCUGAGAUGAACUGACUCCAUUAGGAAAGCCAUGGGCUUGAAUUUGUAAGAGCUGAGCUGGGCUGUCAUGGAUAGGACCCUUUGGAGAGCUUUCAUUUUGUUGUCCCCAAAGAAACCUCCACUCCAAAUGCAGAUCAAUAUGCAAGGCCAAACAAGUUAAAACCACACAUUACUACCUCUGUUCCUACCACUCCCUACUAUUUGGCUUAUAUAUGCUUCUUUCCACAGAAAUAGAUCUCUUAAAGAGAUGUCAUUACACAACUUCUACAUGGGGCUGACGUCUGGGAAUGGAAUGAGACGGUGCUUGUGCAGUUGGAAGUAGCCUAUAAUAAAGUCUAAGAAAAAUUUCAGGUCUUCCUCAGGUCACGUCUGCUGCCCACCUAAAGAAUGAGACAGGUUUAUUCUCAGCUAUUGUAAGGGCCCAUCUGAUAUUGUUUAAAUAUAUUAAGAAACUUGACAGUUUAACCAGAAGGCCACCUGGUUAAAACUAGUUAUUAGCACCAUUGUGCAGAAAGCAAAUAUGCUGCCUGUAUCUUAGAAAAGAACUCUCUCCCUCCUUUAAGUGAAGUAAAAUAUUGGGAUUUGAACAGAAUUCAAGCCCAGCUUGUUAUGCGAGAUGUCAAUCAAGACACUACUCCGAUCCAACUUUCCAAAUUCUUUUUGUGGUACCAGUACCCAUUUGAAAAAAAAAUCACAGUACUUAAUUAAAAAAAAAAUUCACAGUACUUAAAACUUUUAGCAGUAUUCCAUUAAGGAAGGCAUUUACCAAUUUACAUAUUCAAACCAUGCCUUCAGCGAAUCUUGAGGUGAGAUAGUCUAAAAUCCCUGUGGAACUGCACCUCUGGCCUGGAACAGGUUCAUGCAUAAUUCUCUCCAAUGACUUUAUUAUGCUUUUACAGAGAGGAAGUUGUUAGAUCAGAUUAUCAAUAUUUUUUAAAGUUCAAAAGUGGAAUAUAUCAACUUUUUACUGGCAGAAGUUUCCCUUCAUGUUAGUUACCAAGUGACCAUUUUUGCUGUUAUCUUUUAACAUUAGAAAUAACAUUUUAUCCAUUCCAUUAGCCUUCUGCCAGUCUGUAUUUUAGACUGAUUUUAGUAUUUUAUCCGUGUGUUGGGUUUGCAACUGCUUUGGGCUUGUACCCACAAUUUGCUCUUAUUUGUCUUUGUGUUUGUAUGUUUGGAUUGUGUUUUUCUUGUAACCUGUGGUUAUAAAAAUAAAAUAAAAAUAAAAUUUUACUUAA